rnacentral:rRNA from 1 species
ACGUAGGGGGCGAGCGUUAUCCGGAUUCAUUGGGCGUAAAGCGCGCGUAGGCGGCGCGCCAAGCGGAACCUCUAACCUCGGGGCUCAACCUCGAGCCGGGUUCCGAACUGGCGCGCUCGAGUUCGGUAGAGGCAGGCGGAAUUCCCGGUGUAGCGGUGGAAUGCGCAGAUAUCGGGAAGAACACCGAUGGCGAAGGCAGCCUGCUGGGCCGACACUGACGCUGAGGUGCGAAAGCUAGGGGAGCGAACAG